AUAAGAGUUACCUUGGUCAUGGUGUCUGUUUACAGCAGUAAAAUCUUAAGACAGUAGAAGACUUGGAAAACAUGGUGUGUGUGUGGGGGGGGGGGGCAACUAUUAAGAACUCCCACACUCCUUAUCCCAACACCUCAAAUACUUUGAGUGGAUAAAAUGGAUGGUCAGAGCCUUGCUUUUCAAGUCUUACACUGCUCCCUAGUCCUGCCCCUCCCAGCUCUGGAGUUUUCAAUGGGUUUGGUCGCUGAAGGACAUGUCAUACACUUGUUCCCACUGAAGUGUGGUGGAAUGACAAGAGUCAGACAUAGUACUGCGGCUGGUAAAUGAUGCUUUCCACCAAAGCUGCUUCUGUCUCCAGCAGGAGUCUCAGAGACUGUUGACUUGGAAGCUUCAGACCUGCCGUCUAGUCUAAACCCAGCGUUGCCACUUAAUGAACCAUGUCACUGGAUGCCGGGGUCACUUCAUUUCCCUAAUUCUUCUCUUUAAAGGAGGUUGAGAGAGAAAACGGAGGAGAUGAACCAUAACCUGGGUCUCCAAUUUAGGGGAAAGCAAGAAGGACAAACGAAUGAUAUGAGGACUGACAGCCAUUGGCUUCCAAGACCAUUUGUAUGGGGACCAGAGGAGACUGGAUCCAGUUGGGAGACAAGGCAGAGCCAUCAUCAUGUCCAUGAAAUUACAGCGAAGAAGUAAAACAACGUGCUUCGAGUUACAGAGCAGCAGUCCCUCGGCUCCAUUUAGAGAAGCAGUACAUGGGCAGAGCCGUGCUUCCAAGGGAUGCGGCUUUACCCGGAAAACUUGAAGCACGUUACUUUGACGUCGGAGUUUCAGAGCAUCCCCAUCUUUCUCUGAGUUGUCUCAGGAAGGCACCUGGAACCAAGUUCCUGACUCAGGCAAGAUUCCGCUGUGCACAGGAGCUUCUCGGAAGAGCAGGCAGCUCUCAGCUCCUGGGUAGGUUUAUUCCAGAACGCACCUCAGAUACGGCAUAUGUGUUCCCCUGUUACCUGAGCUCUUCCCACGGAACCCUGGACUGUGGAAGCUAAAUAUGCACGGUAACUAUUGUAGCAAAAGACAUGGGAGAGCAUGUCCAAUCCUCUUUUUUAUUUUCUUUCCCUUGAAAAGUUAUAACCU
rnacentral:lncRNA from 1 species